rnacentral:lncRNA from 9 species
AUGCGCGGUGGCUCUGCUCCGGGGACCAGGGGAGGCAGUCUCUGGGGCGGCAGUGGGGGCCCCCGGGCGCCCGGACCUGCCGCCGCACCUGCCGCCGGCCCCCGAGCCCGGUUCCGGACCCACUGCCCCGGGCGGGCGGCGGGCGCGGGAGGCGGGUGCGGGGAGAGCGCGGCUGCAACUCGGCCGCGAGUGGCCGGGAGGCGCAGUGGAGCGAGGAGCGGAAAGGGACGCGGGGAGCGGAAGGACCCUACGGGACGGGACGGAGCAGGGCGAGCAGGGGCUGGAGGGGAGACGGGGAGUGGAAGGCGGAGGGCGCCCGGAGAAGGGCGAGGACCGUGGCCAGGGCAGCGGGACGCCCGUCCAAAGAGCCCCGCGGACGGAGGGCAGCACGCCGCUGGGGGCCGUUUGGAUGCCCUCAGCUGGAGAUCCUUUGAACUCAGUUACAUCCGCGGAGAGAGGAAUCAAGAUGGCAGAGGAGCAGGACGCAGGGCCCACCUCCUCCGACGGGCGCUUCCACGAGCCGUCGGCGUGGGGAGCAGACCUCACAGGAUGCCUUCCUGAAUGUGGCAGGAGACCUCCCACUCCCAGAAGUGCAAGAAAGAGAGGCGCUGCCUCCGCUUGGAACGUUUCUGCUUCCACGUCCUGUAG